AGGCAUUGGACAAUGAAAGACACUGUACUGAUUCGUAAUGUAUUGAAAGCAGUAAUUGAGUGGAUGACUGUUGGUUUUCUCCUUGCCCAUCUUUUUCGAAUUGAAACUAUCACAAUUCAGGACGUUCUUAUAGGAGUAUUUAUUUUGUUCAUCAUCUUUCACCUCUGCUGAGCUCUAGCCCACCCCCACAUACAACCCAGUUGGUAUUUCUUCACAAUCUGUAACAAAACACAUGUCGUCCCCAGACUGUCAGCAGGAGGAAAGUGAAUUGUUUCCAGGUGUUGCCUGGUGUAUCGUAAUGGGUUACCUCCUAGCUCACCUGUGGCCUCCAGGAACAUUGUCAGUGCGAGAUAUUCUAUUGGGAUCCUGUGUGAUGUGCUGCGUGGUUCUAGGUGGAAUGCCAAUACAGCACAAAUGUAAAGAAACCUAAUUCAGGCAACAUCAAGAAAUUUGGUUAAAAACUCAAGAUUUGAAGUCAAAGAAGAAAAAAAACCGGAUGUGUUACGUGUUCCUUUGCUUUUACUAUCGUCACGGAUAAGCCGGGGGUAGGGUGUCGUCCAGUAAAUGAUGUCCCGUUCCGAUGACGAUUUUCUACUCCCUCCUCCCCUCUUAUCAGUAUUGAAAGGCAGACCCUCACCUCAGCAUGACGUCAUACUUCAGUCUGAUCGCCCCAACACCUACGAUUGUGACGUCAUGUAUGCACCGGCACUUAAUGUUAGGCAUUAAAAGAUACGAGGUUGUUGAAUGAAGACGUCUGUUUUGCUACAUCUAAU